GACGAACGCUGGCGGCGUGCUUAACACAUGCAAGUCGAGCGGUAAGGCCCUUUCGGGGGUACACGAGCGGCGAACGGGUGAGUAACACGUGGGUGACCUGCCCUCAGCUCUGGGAUAAGCCCGGGAAACCGGGUCUAAUACCGGAUAUGACUCCAUGACGCAUGUUGUGGGGUGGAAAGCCUUGUGCGGCUGAGGAUGGGCCCGCGGCCUAUCAGCUUGUUGGUGGGGUGAUGGCCUACCAAGGCGACGACGGGUAGCCGGCCUGAGAGGGCGACCGGCCACACUGGGACUGAGACACGGCCCAGACUCCUACGGGAGGCAGCAGUGGGGAAUAUUGGACAAUGGGCGAAAGCCUGAUCCAGCGAUGCCGCGUGUGUGAAGAAGGCCUGCGGGUUGUAAAAGCAUUUCAGUAGGGAAGAAAUGCUUGGAGCUAACACCGCCAAGUUCUGACGUUACCUACAGAAGAAGCA
rnacentral:rRNA from 1 species